rnacentral:rRNA from 1 species
UACGAAGGGGGCUAGCGUUGCUCGGAAUCACUGGGCGUAAAGCGCACGUAGGCGGACUCUUAAGUCGGUGGUGAAAUCCUGGAGCUCAACUCCAGAACUGCCUUCGAUACUGGGAGUCUCGAGUCCGAGAGAGGUGAGUGGAACUGCGAGUGUAGAGGUGAAAUUCGUAGAUAUUGGCAAGAACACCAGUGGCGAAGGCGGCUCACUGGCCCGGUACUGACGCUGAGGUGCGAAAGCGUGGGGAGCAAACAGG